rnacentral:rRNA from 1 species
CCUACGGGAGGCAGCAGUGAGGAAUAUUGGUCAAUGGCCGGAAGGCUGAACCAGCCAUGCCGCGUGAAGGUCAGUGCCCUAUGGGCGUUAAACUUCUUUUGUGCGGGAGCAAUAAUGGUCACGUUUGGCCAGACGAGAGUACCGUACGAAUAAGCAUCGGCUAACUCCGUGCCAGCAGCCGCGGUAAUCCGGGGGAUGCAAGCGUUAUCCGGAUUUAUUGGGUUUAAAGGGUGCGUAGGCUGUGAGGUAAGUCAGCGGUGAAAUGCCCCCGCUCAACGGGGUGAAGUGCCAUUGAUACUGCCUUGCUGGAAUGCGGAUGCCGUGGGAGGAAUGUGUGGUGUAGCGGUGAAAUGCAUAGAUAUCACACAGAACACCGAUUGCGAAGGCAGCUCACGAAUCCGCGAUUGACGCUGAUGCACGAAAGCGUGGGUAUCAAACAGGAUUAGAUACCCGAGUAGUC